rnacentral:rRNA from 1 species
AUUGAACGCUGGCGGCAGGCCUAACACAUGCAAGUCGAGCGGAGCGGCGGACGGGUGAGUAAUGCCUAGGAAUCUGCCUGGUAGUGGGGGAUAACGUCCGGAAACGGGCGCUAAUACCGCAUACUAUCGGAUGAACCCAUAUGGGAUUAGCUAGUAGGUGGGGUAAAGGCUCACCUAGGCGACGAUCUCUAGCUGGUCUGAGAGGAUGAUCAGCCACACUGGGACUGAGACACGGCCCAGACUCCUACGGGAGGCAGCAGUGGGGAAUAUUGCACAAUGGGCGCGAGCCUGAUGCAGCCAUGCCGCGUGUAUGAAGAAGGCCUUAGGGUUGUAAAGUACUUUCAGCGGGGAGGCGUUACCCGCAGAAGAAGCACCGGCUAACUCCGUGCCAGCCGCCGCGGUAAUUC